GUCGUGAGAUGUUGGGUUAAGUCCCGUAACGAGCGCAACCCUUGUCCUUAGUUACCAGCACGUUAUGGUGGGCACUCUAAGGAGACUGCCGGUGACAAACCGGAGGAAGGUGGGGAUGACGUCAAGUCAUCAUGGCCCUUACGGCCUGGGCUACACACGUGCUACAAUGGUCGGUACAAAGGGUUGCCAAGCCGCGAGGUGGAGCUAAUCCCAUAAAACCGAUCGUAGUCCGGAUCGCAGUCUGCAACUCGACUGCGUGAAGUCGGAAUCGCUAGUAAUCGUGAAAUCAGAAUGUCACGGUGAAUACGUUCCCGGGCCUU
rnacentral:rRNA from 1 species